rnacentral:snRNA from 1 species
GGAUGUGAGGGUGAUCUGGUUGUGACAUAUCACCCCGCUGAUCGCCAGGGUUGAUUCAGCUGAUCUGGCUGGCUAGGCAAGUGUCAGUGUCGCCUUCCUCCCUCACCGCUCCAUGUGCGUCCCUCCCGUAGCUUUGCAUUCAAAGAGGAUGACCUUCCCCGAGAGAGGAGACCAUUCUUCUGUCGAGAGUAUACUAGUAGCUGCACUCCCCUGCUAGAACCUCCAAACAAGCUCUCAAAAGAAGAGGAAGUGAAAGCAGUUGAAAAAAGAGAAGAGAGAGUCAGAAGAGGUCAUGAUCU